rnacentral:rRNA from 1 species
AUUGAGCGCUGGCGGCAUGCUUUACACAUGCAAGUCGAACGGUAACAGGCCGCAAGGUGCUGACGAGUGGCGAACGGGUGAGUAAUGCAUCGGAACGUGCCCAGUCGUGGGGGAUAACGCAGCGAAAGUUGCGCUAAUACCGCAUACGAUCUAUGGAUGAAAGCGGGGGACCGGAAGGCCUCGCGCGAUUGGAGCGGCCGGUGUCAGAUUAGGUAGUUGGUGGGGUAAAGGCUCACUAAGCCGACGAUCUGUAGCUGGUCUGAGAGGACGACCGUCCACACCGGGCCGGAGACACGGCCCAGACUCCUACGGGAGGCAGCAUUGGGGAAUUUUGGACAAUGGGCGCAAGCCUGAUCCAGCGAUGCCGCGUGCAGGAAGAAGGCCUUCGGGUUGUAAACUGCUUUUGUACGGAACGAAACGGUCCUGGUUAAUGCCUGGGGCUAAUGACGGUACCGUAAGAAUAAGCACCGGCUAACUACGUGCCAGCAGCCGCCGUAACAC